rnacentral:rRNA from 1 species
CAGUCGCCACGGUAAUACGAAGGGUGCAAGCGUUAAUCGGAAUUACUGGGCGUAAAGCGUGCGUAGGCGGUUUGUUAAGUCUGCUGUGAAAUCCCCGGGCUCAACCUGGGAAUGGCAGUGGAUACUGGCAAGCUAGAGUGUGUCAGAGGAUGGUGGAAUUCCCGGUGUAGCGGUGAAAUGCGUAGAGAUCGGGAGGAACAUCAGUGGCGAAGGCGGCCAUCUGGGACAACACUGACGCUGAGGCACGAAAGCGUGGGGAGCAAACAGGAUUAGAUACCCCCGUAGUCCCUGUCUCUUAUAA